GCAGCAAUCACUAAGCAAAAGAAAAAUAUAUAAUACUUCCUAUAGUCUAUAGCCAUCCUCUACUUGAUGAAAUGAUAAAGCAGAGUACAGGUACAUGUCACGGGGAGGUGAAAGGAUGAUGACGAUAAGGCAACUUUCACCAGCUGCUGCUGUACAAAAAUGUCCAUUUGACUGCUGCUUCUGUAUAAUGAAUCAGUUGCCCCAGAGUUAUAUCACACAAAACGUAGCUGAUCCUAUGUAUUAUGGA
rnacentral:misc_RNA from 1 species